UACGAAGGGGGCUAGCGUUGCUCGGAAUUACUGGGCGUAAAGCGCACGUAGGCGGCUCUUUAAGUCGGGGGUGAAAUCCUGGAGCUCAACUCCAGAACUGCCUUCGAUACUGGAAAGCUCGAGUCCGGGAGAGGUGAGUGGAACUGCGAGUGUAGAGGUGAAAUUCGUAGAUAUUCGCAAGAACACCAGUGGCGAAGGCGGCUCACUGGCCCGGUACUGACGCUGAGGUGCGAAAGCGUGGGGAGCAAACAGG
rnacentral:rRNA from 1 species